rnacentral:rRNA from 1 species
UACGGAGGGUGCAAGCGUUGUUCGGAUUUAUUGGGCGUAAAGCGCGUGUAGGCGGUUUUUUAAGUCUGAUGUGAAAGCCCUGGGCUCAACCCGGGAAGUGCAUUGGAAACUGGGAGACUUGAAUACGGGAGAGGGUAGUGGAAUUCCUGGUGUAGGAGUGAAAUCCGUAGAUAUCAGGAGGAACACCGGUGGCGAAGGCGGCUACCUGGACCGAUAUUGACGCUGAGGUGCGAAAGCGUGGGGAUCAAACAGG